UAGGUUAACGAGGCGAACCGGGGGAACUGAAACAUCUAAGUACCCCGAGGAAAAGAAAUCAACCGAGAUUCCCCCAGUAGCGGCGAGCGAACGGGGAGCAGCCCGGAGUCUGAAUCAGCUUGUGUGUUAGUGGAACGGUCUGGAAAGUCCGACGGUACAGGGUGAUAGUCCCGUACACGAAAAUGCACAGGUUGUGAACUCGAAGAGUAGGGCGGGACACGUGGUAUCCUGUCUGAAUAUGGGGGGACCAUCCUCCAAGGCUAAAUACUCCUGACUGACCGAUAGUGAACCAGUACCGUGAGGGAAAGGCGAAAAGAACCCCGGCGAGGGGAGUGAAAAAGAACCUGAAACCGUGU
rnacentral:rRNA from 1 species